AAUGUAAAUUCCACUACUACAAAUCGGCAAAAUAAUAAGUUCUUUCAAAAGAAUGGAUAUACGUCAAGUAUAACAAAUUAGAAAAGUGCUAUUUAGUAGAAUGACCCACUUCCUGGGGAAUUGAUUUGAUAAUACAAACCAAACAUGACUCUUUUUUGUACUUCCCAAAAAGUUCUAUUUCUUUAAUCUACUUACCCCCAACCAAAAUAAACCUAGUUACUAAUACAGCAUGAAAGGGGUAUUUUUAAUUAUUUCACAUCAAUUUCUAUUUUUAUUUUGUGGGAUUGGAUGUACAUGGAAUGAUCAUUGUACUAUCUAUAUGGCCAAGUUUAUACAUCAAUAUGAAUGAGAACUGCACAACAGUACAAGGAUCUUGGCAUUUGCAAGGGGGAUUCCACCAAGCAAAGCAGCAUUUCGUUGCAUUAGUUCUAGCUGGCAGCCUGCUGUAAUGGUGGCCAAGCAAUUUCAUCAUCAUCUGUAUAGCCCUGAAUAAGGAAAUCUGCACAAUUCUUUCGGCACCCAUGGUUGUACGGAUUCCGAAACCGUCCAUCUGGACUACGAAGAUAUCCAUAACGAGCAGCAUUUGCAAGUUCAUUAGUGGUGAUAUUCCGAGCUAUCUGUGACGCUUGUGCUAUGGUUAAAGUUGUGGCAGCAAUGAAAAUAAUCAUGUCCAAAACCAAAAAUGUAACAACCCCAGGAUGUUGAACAACCACAUAAUGAAUCCAUCUUCCUUCUGUAUGCAAUGACUCCACAGCUGUCCAAAUUCCUGUAAUGACAGAAAGGGAAAUACUUAACAAAAAUAAAAAACUAACAGGUAGAACAAGGGGGAAGGAAGGGGGAGGUAUUUUUUAGCAGCCACUUACUUUGAACUGUAAUAGCAGCACCGAGGAAUGAUGUCAAAGUUCCCAGGCAUAAAAAAAUGAAGAAGUCCCGUUUGUUCCUCUUCAAACAACAAUGAUGAAAACAUUGAAAAAGAUCGAAAUUUGAUAGGCAAGUCACAUAUCAUUGUGCAUUAAUAAAUAUAGCAAGAAUUACAAGGCCAGGACAAAUUCUACAAGUGUCCAAAACAACUGUGUAGAAGUGUGCACAGCCAACAGAAGUUGCAUAGAUCUCUAUGUCAACUUUGGAUUUUGCAGAAUAGCAAUGCCACAAAAAGCUGCAUGAUAACAUCAUCUCCUAAAUUUCCAGAUUUUGUCACAGGAUAAGAGCAUAUGCAGCAGCUAAUGACAUACUCACAUUCAGGUAUCCAAAAGAAUAGCACCACUAAAGAAGAAAACCAACAUUCCCAAACAAAAGCAUCCUUAUGAACCAAAUUUCUCACCUUCCCCACACAGUUAGAUAUCCAAGGGCAGUGAUGGUCAAAUUGCUCUACACAGCGCUUACAUGAGGGGCAGUGCUUGGAGCGAACGGGUCUAAUUAUCUUGCAGGUAGGGCAAAGCUGAGACCAAUUACCCAUCCAUACAGAGGAGUUGUUCAGAUCGACAUUUAAUAAGGGAUCCUACAUAAGUCCAAUAGAGAUCAGUUAAUGGAGUGGUAAACUAAUAAAAAAGAGGUCCAAAGAAGCAUCGCCAUGAAUUUGAAUAGAUAUUGAUUAUAAAACCAAUAACCAUUGAUAAUAAGAAACUGCUCUGCUGCAAAGAAUGAUACACUUAAGACAUCCAAAGAUAGGACUUGAAAUUUAAAAAUGAACAUAAAAUAGAUUGAAAAAUGAAAUUAUGCCUUCUAUGAUGAGUCAAAUAGUAAUAGUAAAGGACAACCAUAAUGCUAAUUUUGGCUUGAAGGAGAAAGGGUGAAAAAAGAACCUGGCAGGAAAAGGAAGGAAAGACCUCUGAGAACAUCCAGUUUAAGGUAGAAGCAAGGAAAGAAAGAAACGAGACAGAUACCACUUCUUUUAAUGCCUCUGUAUCUGUAUCUCUACCCAAAUCUUCAAGUCUUUUGAUAAAACCUGGAUCUUUACUGCAGAUAAUUGUGAAAGAACAUGAAGAAGUAAAUUCUGACAACAAAUUUUUUAAGAACUUAAAUCAGUAGCAACAAUAUGAAAGAGAUAUACAAUCUGCAAAACUAAAAAUCUAGAAGUGCAGAUGUGAUAACAGGAAGCAGAAACUGCGAAUCUAAGUUCUAACAGGAUAAACCAACAAGCACCUCAAGCAAGUUUUAGGAUAAGCCAAGUGGCAGGUUUCACAAACAUGUUGGUUAGUUGAACCCAAACGUACUUAACAAAUUACUUUAGGUAAAGUUUGAUGGUAUAAUCUAAACAUUGCAGAAGAUAAUAGAUGUUCUGGUGGACAAAAAAGUUAGUUAGGAACAAUGGAUCAAGGAAGUUCAGUUCUUCAAUCUAAAAGGUCUUUUUCACUCUUUUUUGGUUCUUGUUCCCAAAUUAAUAAAUCUCAGAUAUGAACAUGCCAUAAAGGCAUAAUCUGACAACACUCACAAAUUCAAAAAUAUUAGCAUGUAACCUGUAAUAUAUGGCACAAACAGAUGAUAGAUUUGACAGGAAGAAUCAUUGGUCAAAAUGAAAUGCAUAAUCAAUGUCAGCUGAUCAUAUACAGUAAAAUAUAGCAACCGGAUAUGACUGAUGAUGGAUUUUAUGUCCAGCAAUUUCCAGAUUUGGGUAAUUUAGGUUGAAGUUGGCAAUUCUACCCAUUUAGGAAUAGAGAGUAAGAGAUAGAUGAAAAGCAACAGCAACAUACUGACCAAGGACAAGAAGCACAAAGUAAAAAGAAGCAGCUAAACCAACAAAUAAGAUCAUAUAGACACAAGAAACCUGUGCAAUAAACAAAUACACUCAACUAAGUCUUAAAAAAUCUCAAACUAUUUAGGGUAUGUUACAUCAUAUGCCACAUGAAAACUAACCAUAAAUCAAUAGUAGCACCAGAAAUUACCUACUACACUUGUAGAACAUGAUCAGUGAAACAACAGCCAGGGAAAGAGCAGUCCAUCCCCAGAGUCCAACAAUAGCCGUUAUUUUUGGAAGACUUGGAGCUAGAAUGACAUUGAAAGGAUAAUCAUAAUUAACAAGAGGAGAUACUUACAUUCACCAUCAAAGAUAAACAAGAAAUAUAAGAAACAUAAUAUCUUACCUGCAAUAACAGAAUUAACAAAGAGGAACAUAAGAAAGAUUAUAAUAGAAAAUAAGAUGGGAGCAUAACCAAUGCCGCCUAUCUUCCCAUGGCAAAUUUUGUCACCCAAGUGUUUGCUUUGUGCCCGUUGUGCAUUAGACUGAACAAAAUCAAAACAAUGUAAAUACUUGACUAUUAUUUGUGAAGACACAUAGUCUCAACAUCAUUUAAGAUAUUCCCACAACAGAAUUCAAAAUAGAUAAACUAAAAAUUAGACCAUUGUGGUAGAAUGGAGGUUCUCAAAAUCUACAAGUCUAAUAGAUAUAAUAGAUAAACAGUUAAAAACCACCAUCCAGAAUAAUAUUUGCACUAAUAAAUGUCUCAUACACCAUUUUCCAAAUGCAUGCACAUUAAACAUAUGUUUCCAUCAGAAAUUAUGCUUUCUUAGCUGAGAAAUUUUUUUCAUUUCACAAUGCCUUUAUCUAUGGAAAUUCGUGGCUCUCAUGUGAAUGUUAAUGCAUAGUCCAUGAUCUCACAUAAUGGGGAGGAAGCAUUUGUUCUUUGCAAAAUGGCAUAUUACCAAAACAAUAGGGGCUUAUGUAAAAAAUAUAAAAACUUUCCUGUCAAGCAAUAAAAGAUGAAGAGACAGAAUCAAAGGCAGAGGUACAAGAAUUGAAGCUAAUAAAUUAGCUGUCAAGCAUGGUGCAUGAUUAAUUCUCCAGUUGCAGCGAGAAAGCCAAAUGUCUACUACAACUACAAAUAUUCAUUAUUCAGUGGCAUCUGAAAUGUCUACUUUAAAAACUGAAGGCCAAAGACUAUUGACAUCCAAGUGUUAACUAUUCCUAGCAAUGGAUCUCACAAAUUUCAGCAUGAAAUAUUGCCCAGAUAAAAAAACACACGGAAUCUUGUAGGCUCUUGAAGCCUCAGUCCUUACAGGUAUUCACAUUUACAGAUUGGUUUAAAGUUUCUAUUAAGGACAAUAUUAUCCAUACAAGGUUACGUACAAGGAAAAGGGCGACAUGCCGAUGACCUUUAUCAGAUGCAAGCUGAACAGGAGUAAAUCCGGCUUUAUCCUUCACUGUCAGCUCCUGCUUUGUGCCAGCAUGUACAAGAACUGUGCACGCCUCUACAUUUCCUCUUAAUGCAGCCCAGUGCAAAGGGGUACAACCUUCUCUAUCCUGUCUUCCUUGACUUGCAUCUCGAAAUAGAAGUAAUCUAAUAGUGUCAGCAUAUCCCUUGUAUGCAGCCCAAUGAAGAGGGCUCCUCCCUUCAUUGUCUGGUGCAUCAAAAUCAGCAUGAUACUUUGCAACAAUGUGAUUUAAGAAAGCUGUUUGUCCAUACUGGGCAGAAACAUGAACUGCCCGAUAGCCAUUUAUAUCAGUUGCCUCGACUCGAGCUCCAUUCUGCAACAGCACAUCUGCCACAGCAAUUGAACCCCUAACCGCAGCCCAAUGCAAUGCUGUCUGCUGCAUAUUAUCAGCUGCAUUCACAUCGCCCCCGUGCUCGAUUAUGUAUUGUGCGAUAUCAGCGAAGUUGUUGAGAGCAGCCCAUUGGAGAGCAUAGUACCCAUUGCCAUCAGGCUUAGAGAGAGAAGCACCGUCCUGUUCAACAAAUCUGCACAGUUUCUCCAAAUCUCCAUAAGCAGAAGCGGAGAAAACAUCGAUCACAGUAGGUGCGUUGCCAUUAGGACUUUGCUCCGGCUGCGUUUUGGAUUCCGAUGACACUACCUCGAUCUCUGAAGAUGCCAUACGUAGAUUGACCAAUGCAUGCGGGAUAGAAUCCAAUUAGGGUUUCUGAAUUUUGGAGGUUUAGGGUUUACUGCCUGAUUGGAAAUGGCAGCAGCGAGUUUCGUUCUCCGAAUCGACAAGCGGUCUUAUUAUUUUU
rnacentral:misc_RNA from 1 species